rnacentral:rRNA from 1 species
UACGUAGGUGGCAAGCGUUGUCCGGAUUUACUGGGCGUAAAGAGCGCGCAGGCGGUCGUUCAAGUCGCGUGUGAAAGCCCCCGGCUCAACUGGGGAGGGUCACGCGAUACUGAUCGACUCGAAGGCAGGAGAGGGAAGUGGAAUUCCCGGUGUAGUGGUGAAAUGCGUAGAUAUCGGGAGGAACACCAGUGGCGAAGGCGACUUCCUGGCCUGUUCUUGACGCUGAGGCGGCGAAAAGCUAGGGGAGCAAACGGG